AAAUUGAAGAGUUUGAUCAUGGCUCAGAUUGAACGCUGGCGGCAGGCCUAACACAUGCAAGUCGAACGGUAACAGGAAGAAGCUUGCUUCUUUGCUGACGAGUGGCGGACGGGUGAGUAAUGUCUGGGAAACUGCCUGAUGGAGGGGGAUAACUACUGGAAACGGUAGCUAAUACCGCAUAACGUCGCAAGACCAAAGAGGGGGACCUUCGGGCCUCUUGCCAUCGGAUGUGCCCAGAUGGGAUUAGCUUGUUGGUGGGGUAACGGCUCACCAAGGCGACGAUCCCUAGCUGGUCUGAGAGGAUGACCAGCCACACUGGAACUGAGACACGGUCCAGACUCCUACGGGAGGCAGCAGUGGGGAAUAUUGCACAAUGGGCGCAAGCCUGAUGCAGCCAUACCGCGUGUAUGAAGAAGGCCUUCGGGUUGUAAAGUACUUUCAGCGGGGAGGAAGGGAGUAAAGUUAAUACCUUUGCUCAUUGACGUUACCCGCAGAAGAAGCACCGGCUAACUCCGUGCCAGCAGCCGCGGUAAUACGGAGGGUGCAAGCGUUAAUCGGAAUUACUGGGCGUAAAGCGCACGCAGGCGGUUUGUUAAGUCAGAUGUGAAAUCCCCGGGCUCAACCUGGGAACUGCAUCUGAUACUGGCAAGCUUGAGUCUCGUAGAGGGGGGUAGAAUUCCAGGUGUAGCGGUGAAAUGCGUAGAGAUCUGGAGGAAUACCGGUGGCGAAGGCGGCCCCCUGGACGAAGACUGACGCUCAGGUGCGAAAGCGUGGGGAGCAAACAGGAUUAGAUACCCUGGUAGUCCACGCCGUAAACGAUGUCGACUUGGAGGUUGUGCCCUUGAGGCGUGGCUUCCGGAGCUAACGCGUUAAGUCGACCGCCUGGGGAGUACGGCCGCAAGGUUAAAACUCAAAUGAAUUGACGGGGGCCCGCACAAGCGGUGGAGCAUGUGGUUUAAUUCGAUGCAACGCGAAGAACCUUACCUGGUCUUGACAUCCACGGAAGUUUUCAGAGAUGAGAAUGUGCCUUCGGGAACCGUGAGACAGGUGCUGCAUGGCUGUCGUCAGCUCGUGUUGUGAAAUGUUGGGUUAAGUCCCGCAACGAGCGCAACCCUUAUCCUUUGUUGCCAGCGGUCCGGCCGGGAACUCAAAGGAGACUGCCAGUGAUAAACUGGAGGAAGGUGGGGAUGACGUCAAGUCAUCAUGGCCCUUACGACCAGGGCUACACACGUGCUACAAUGGCGCAUACAAAGAGAAGCGACCUCGCGAGAGCAAGCGGACCUCAUAAAGUGCGUCGUAGUCCGGAUUGGAGUCUGCAACUCGACUCCAUGAAGUCGGAAUCGCUAGUAAUCGUGGAUCAGAAUGCCACGGUGAAUACGUUCCCGGGCCUUGUACACACCGCCCGUCACACCAUGGGAGUGGGUUGCAAAAGAAGUAGGUAGCUUAACCUUCGGGAGGGCGCUUACCACUUUGUGAUUCAUGACUGGGGUGAAGUCGUAACAAGGUAACCGUAGGGGAACCUGCGGUUGGAUCACCUCCUUA
rnacentral:rRNA from 1 species